AUUGAACGCUGGCGGCAGGCUUAACACAUGCAAGUCGAGCGAGCGGCGGACGGGUGAGUAAUGUCUGGGAAACUGCCUGAUGGAGGGGGAUAACUACUGGAAACGGUAGCUAAUACCGCAUACCAUCAGAUGUGCCCAGAUGGGAUUAGCUAGUAGGUGGGGUAAUGGCUCACCUAGGCGACGAUCCCUGGCUGGUCUGAGAGGAUGACAAGGCACACUGGAACAGAGACAGGGUCCAGACUCCUAGGGGAGGCAGCAGUGGGGAAUAUUGCACAAUGGUCGAAAGCCGGAUGCAGCCAUGCGGCGUGUGUGAAGAAGGCCUUCGGGUUGUAAAGCACUUUCAGAGAGGAGGCGUUACUCGCAGAAGAAGCACCGGCUAACUCCGUGCCAGCAGCCGCGGUAUAC
rnacentral:rRNA from 1 species